UACGGAGGGGGCUAGCGUUGUUCGGAAUUACUGGGCGUAAAGCGCACGUAGGCGGCUUUGCAAGUUAGAGGUGAAAGCCCGGGGCUCAACUCCGGAAUUGCCUUUAAAACUGCAUCGCUAGGAUUGUGGAGAGGUAAGUGGAAUUCCGAGUGUAGAGGUGAAAUUCGUAGAUAUUCGGAAGAACACCAGUGGCGAAGGCGACUUACUGGACACAUAUUGACGCUGAGGUGCGAAAGCGUGGGGAGCAAACAGG
rnacentral:rRNA from 1 species